CAGAGGCGUCGGCGGAGAGAGAGAGACGGAGCUUGGGGAUGGGAUUGGGAGUGGGAUCGAGCUUGAGGGUGGGACAUGGAUCGAAGAAGGAUUUGAAUUUGGGGGUGGGGGUCUUAAUUAUCUCCUUCAUCUCUCUCUCAAUUUUCGAUUUCUCGUAUUCUAUUCAAUUUCAAAAUCCGAUCUUGAGGGUUUGGUGUUCUUCAAUUUUGUCUUGAAUUUGCGUUUUGAUUGGUUUGGUUGCGUUUUAGGCGAAGGAAGAAGAUUUGAUGAUAAAGGAGCCCAACCCUAAGAGAAUGCAUAUGACUGACGAUAAAGCAGAGAAUUAGAAAAGCAAAGAAGAAGACAAAGCAAGCUGCUCUUCAUCUUCUUCGACCGUGGAGAAGGUUAUACCAAAAGCUCGCCCAAAGGCUGAAGUUAAACCCGACCCGGAGGAGGAAGAGCAAGCUAGUCAUGCUGAAAAGGAGAGGUAGUUGCUCAGACGUUUCCAUAUAUAUAUAGAGCCAUGGCCUUAAGAACAAUGAUGAGGAAGAUAGGGAGUAAACUGUUACCCAGGUUUUCAUCCAUGCAUAGGGAAUAGCAGUAUACGUUACUCACUCUGCACAUGAGAUGAUUUCUUUUUACUCUAUUGUUGCCUUUUCUUUCUUAUCAAACACAUAUGAAGACUGUCACUUUCACAUUGAUUCCAUGGUUUUGAUGCUCCUUUUCAUGUUUCUUUUCCAUCCAUUUAGAAAUUGAUCCAGUUCAAGUUAGUUUAAUUCAGAAUGAUUUUGAUGGUAUUUAGUCUUCACAUGAAGUGAAAUUGCUGCCUACUUGCUUCAUUGUGUUUAGAAUACAUUCAAUGAUUGUUGUCGUGCUCCAAUUUU